rnacentral:rRNA from 1 species
CUACGGGGCGCAGCAGCUACGAAACCUUUACAAUGCACGAAAGUGUGAUAAGGGGAUCCCGAGUGCUCAUGCACAGCAUGGGCUUUUGCCAAGAGUAAAUAUCUUGGCGAAUAAGUGGUGGGUAAGACUGGUGCCAGCCGCCGCGGUAACACCAGCGCCACAAGUGGGAACCACUUUUAUUGGGCCUAAAGCGUCCGUAGCCGGUUUGAUAAGUUUCCUGUGAAAUUGUACAUCUUAAAUGGACGGCGUGCAGGAAGUACUGUCUAGCUUGGAACCAGGAGAGGUCAGAAGUAUUCUUGGGGUAGCGGUUAAAUGUUAUAAUCCCAAGAGGACUACCAAUGGCGAAGGCAUCUGACCAGAAUGGCUUCGACGGUGAGGGACGAAAGCUGGGGGAGCGAUCCGGAUUAGAUACCCCUGUAGUC